GUCGGAGACGGGGAGUUGGAAGCGAAAAGAAGGGGAAGCCAAUUAACGGCGUCCUGCGGAUAAAAAGCCGGUCGCCUCCGCUGGCGUCGGAAACUCCAUUGGUGCUUUAAAAUCCUCUGCUAGAAUUUAGGGUUAGGAUUGGGGCGUUACUGGCGUCUCGAAUCGGUGGAGGGGGUAGGAGGAUCCCUCGAUUCCGUAUUCGAUUGAAUUGGUGGAGUCUUUUUCGAGCCGCUGGAGAUUGGUUGACUCGAGUUUCUCUUUAUUCCGGUAGAUUAGCUGCUGAUUGAACUUGAAUAACCGUACAUUGUGCCGGUGAAGAUGAGAGCAUUAGCGCGAUCUCUUCGACAAGUUCGGUAUUUAUCUCAGCUUCGUGGAGGAGCGCUUUCGUUGAAUGGUUUGGGAGAAAAUGAGAAAGUUCCGAUUUUGUGUAAUCCAGCUGCUUGCUCUUUGAUCAAACAUUCUUACGAUAAAGAAAUCAGGAGAUAUUUGAACCAGUCUUUGGUCCUCUGGAGGGCUCUGUCCACCACUGCAGCAAAUGAAGCAACUGGAGCUGUUGGAAGAGCAGGUCCUCUGCUGGAGUAUGAAAGGAGAACUACAUCAGGGGAGCUAGUUGAUGGUGACAAUUGUCAGGUAGACACUCUUAGAGUGCUGCAAAGACUUUAUGAACAGCUGAUUGAGCAUGAAGAUAGCUGUCAGUUGGAUAGAUACAAAGCAUCUGAAAAAAAUGCAAGGAGGAGGUGGUUAUGGUCGCGUCUCAUUCCUCAAUCUUCAUAUUCACCAGUCAAAGGCCUUUACCUUUAUGGAGGAGUAGGCACAGGAAAGACGAUGCUUAUGGAUUUGUUUUAUGAUCAAUUGCCAUGUAACUGGAGGAAGAAAAGAAUCCAUUUUCAUGAUUUCAUGCUGGAUGUACAUAGUCGCCUACAGAUGCAUAAAGGUGUAGCAGAUCCACUUGAAGUUGUUGCAGGAGAGAUAUCAGAUGAGUCAAUUCUAUUAUGUCUUGAUGAAUUCAUGGUGACUGAUGUUGCUGAUGCUUUGAUACUGAAUCGUCUUUUUCGGCAUUUGUUCAGCAAAGGCGUUGUUCUUGUUUCUACUUCAAAUCGUGCUCCAGAUCAGCUUUAUGAAGGUGGUUUACAGAGGGAUCUAUUUUUGCCCUUCAUUGAAACCUUGAAGGAAAGGUGUGUUGUGCAUGAAAUUGGCUCUUCAACUGAUUAUAGAAAAUUGGGUUCGGCUGGGCAGAGCUUUUAUUUUGUUGGAAAGGUGUACUCUGAACUUCUUAAACAGAAGUUCUAUGAGUUAAUUGGGCAGGAAACACCUGGCCCAGAAGUUGUGGAAGUUGUUAUGGGAAGACAAUUGCAGGUCCCACUGGGAGCCAAUGGAUGUGCAUAUUUUCCUUUCGAUGAUCUUUGUGACAGACCUUUGGGGGCAGCUGAUUACUUUGGAUUGUUUAAAAAAUUUCAUACACUGGCAUUGGAUGGAGUGCCAAAGUUCGCUCUCCAUAACCGGACUGCAGCUUAUCGGUUUGUCACCUUAGUUGAUGUGAUGUAUGAGAACAGGGCCAGAUUGUUAUGUACAGCUGAGGCGUCUCCAGUUGAAUUAUUUGAAAGAAUUGUAACGGUAGCUGAUGCCCAAAAGAUAUCUCCAAGAACUUCUUCUAGGUCGCAGAAAAGGGAUGAUAUUGAUCUUUGUGUGGACAAUGAACUUGGAUUUGCUAAGGACCGCACAAUUAGUAGAUUAACAGAGAUGAACAGCAAGGAGUAUUUGGAACAGCAUGAGGCGAACUUGCAGGACAAGGCCUCUCAGAGUGUAGAUGAGAAGAGUGAAGCCUUACAAGCAUGAUAACUUGUUCUAACUUAUUAUUUAUAAUAUUUCAUAAGAUGAGGCCACCCCAGUCGGUUCAGGAGAAUUUUAAAUCAAUAACGCUCCACGGGCUUCAGGUCAGCAGAGGCCUAAUCUGUACACCCUGUAAAAUCCUUUUCUUUCAGAGAUGGGAGAUGGUUAAUAUUGCACAUCAUUUCUAUGAAUAAAGAAAGCAUCGAUUGCUUUUUGCAGCAGACGAACAAUUUAAAAUGCUUGUGAGAUUCUAAGGAGCUUCAUGAUUCAAAUCGUGUGAAAGCCCAGAAAAUGUGGAAGCCUAUGUCCCUGCACAAUUGCACCGUUUUUCGGUAUUGGUGUGUUCGCAUUGUUAUUGCACUACUCCCAAUGUGACUGAUAUUUAUUC